rnacentral:rRNA from 1 species
CCUACGGGUGGCUGCAGUGAGGAAUAUUGGUCAAUGGGCGCGAGCCUGAACCAGCCAAGUAGCGUGAAGGAUGACUGCCCUACGGGUUGUAAACUUCUUUUAUAAAGGAAUAAAGUGAGGCACGUGUGCCUUUUUGUAAGUACCUUAUGAAUAAGGAUCGGCUAACUCCGUGCCAGCAGCCGCGGUAAUACGGAGGAUCCGAGCGUUAUCCGGAUUUAUUGGGUUUAAAGGGUGCGUAGAUGGGUUGUUAAGUUAGUUGUGAAAGUUUGCGGCUCAACCGUAAAAUUGCCAUUGAUACUGGCAGCCUUGAGUGCAGUUGAGGUAGGCGGAAUGCGUGGUGUAGCGGUGAAAUGCUUAGAUAUCACGAAGAACUCCGAUUGCGAAGGCAGCUUACUAAGCUGCCACUGACAUUGAUGCUCGAAAGUGUGGGUAUCAAACAGGAUUAGAUACCCUAGUAGUC